rnacentral:tRNA from 1 species
AGUGUCAAGGGAUGGGAAUCGAACCCACGACCUUCCGCUUACCGGGCAGAUGCCAUGGCCACUAGGCCACAUGACC